CUAGUGUGUGUGCUGCUUAUAAAGUUUGAAAAGUUUGUUUUUCUUUUCUUUUCUUGAUCAUUAAACAGUGUUUGUAAGAACGUUUGCUUUGUUCCUAGUUGUCGGAUUGGUUCAAAAAGUAAAGGGAAGAUUUGGACAUCAUUCCCCUGAUUAAAAAUGUAAUAAGUUUUUUUUAACAAUCAUCAUCUCUUAAUUAACAAAUCAUGGGCUAAUACAAA
rnacentral:misc_RNA from 1 species